AUUGAACGCUGGCGGGCAUGCCUUACACAUGCAAGUCGAACGGCAGCGGGCCUUCGGGUGGCCGGCGGAGUGGCGAACGGGUGAGUAAUGCAUCGGAACGUGCCAUUGAGUGGGGGAUAACGUAGCGAAAGUUGCGCUAAUACCGCAUAUUCUGUGAGCAGGAAAGCAGGGGACCGCAAGGCCUUGCGCUCUUUGAGCGGCCGAUGUCAGAUUAGCUAGUUGGUGAGGUAAAGGCUUACCAAGGCGACGAUCUGUAGCGGGUCUGAGAGGAUGAUCCGCCACACUGGAACUGAGACACGGUCCAGACUCCUACGGGAGGCAGCAGUGGGGGAAUUUUUGGGACAAUGGGGGCAACCCUGAUCCAGCCAUGCCGCGUGAGUGAAGAAGGCCUC
rnacentral:rRNA from 1 species